rnacentral:rRNA from 1 species
UACGAAGGGGGCUAGCGUUGCUCGGAAUCACUGGGCGUAAAGGGAGCGUAGGCGGGUUCUUAAGUAAGGUGUUUAAUCCCGGGGCCAACCCCGGACCGGCACUUUAAACUGGGAAUCUUGAAUAGUGGAGAGGUCGGUGGAAUUGGGGGUGUAGCGGUGGAAUGCGUAGAGAUCCCCAAGAACACCAGUGGCGAAGGCGGCUCACUGGUCCGGUACUGACGCUGAGGUGCGAAAGCGUGGGGAGCGAACGGGG